rnacentral:rRNA from 1 species
ACGGGAGGCAGCAGUGGGGGAUAUUGCACAAUGGGGGAAACCCUGAUGCAGCGACGCCGCGUGAGUGAAGAAGUAUUUCGGUAUGCAAAGCUCUAUCAGCAGGGAAGAAAAUGACGGUACCUGACUAAGAAGCUCCGGCUAAAUACGUGCCAGCAGCCGCGGUAAUACGUAUGGAGCAAGCGUUAUCCGGAUUUACUGGGUGUAAAGGGAGCGUAGACGGUAAAGCAAGUCUGAAGUGAAAUCCCGGGGCUCAACCCCGGAACUGCUUUGGAAACUGUUUAACUAGAGUGCAGGAGAGGCAAGCGGAAUUCCUAGUGUAGCGGUGAAAUGCGUAGAUAUUAGGAGGAACACCAGUGGCGAAGGCGGCUUACUGGACUGUAACUGACGUUGAGGCUCGAAAGCGUGGGGAGCAAACAGGAUUAGAUACCCUGGUA